rnacentral:snRNA from 1 species
AUGCUCACUUUGGCAGCACACAUAUUAAAAAUUGGAAUGAUAGAGAAGAUUGGCACGGCCCUAAACAAGAAUGGCAUUCAAAUUCAUGAAGCAUUCCAUACUUUU